CCUACGGGAGGCAGCAGUGGGGAAUAUUGGGCAAUGGGCGCAAGCCUGACCCAGCAACGCCGCGUGAAGGAAGAAGGCUUUCGGGUUGUAAACUUCUAUCAGCAGGGAAGAAAAUGACGGUACCUGACUAAGAAGCCCCGGCUAACUACGUGCCAGCAGCCGCGGUAAUACGUAGGGGGCAAGCGUUAUCCGGAUUUACUGGGUGUAAAGGGAGCGUAGACGGAGUGGCAAGUCUGAUGUGAAAACCCGGGGCUCAACCCCGGGACUGCAUUGGAAACUGUCAAUCUAGAGUACCGGAGAGGUAAGCGGAAUUCCUAGUGUAGCGGUGAAAUGCGUAGAUAUUAGGAGGAACACCAGUGGCGAAGGCGGCUUACUGGACAGUAACUGACGUUGAGGCUCGAAAGCGUGGGGAGCAAACAGGAUU
rnacentral:rRNA from 1 species